rnacentral:rRNA from 1 species
GAUGAACGCUGGCGGCGUGCUUAACACAUGCCAGUCGAACGGAAAGGCUCCUGCUUGCAGGGGUACUCGAGUGGCGAACGGGUGAGUAACACGUGGGUGAUCUGCCCUGCACUUCGGGAUAAGCUUGGGAAACUGGGUCUAAUACCGGAUAGGACCGCAUUUUGGAUGGUGUGGUGGAAAGUUUUUUCGGUGUGGGAUGAGCUCGCGGCCUAUCAGCUUGUUGGUGGGGUAAUGGCUUACCAAGGCGUCGACGGGUAGCCGGCCUGAGAGGGUGUACGGCCACAUUGGGACUGAGAUACGGCCCAGACUCCUACGGGAGGCAGCAGUGGGGAAUAUUGCACAAUGGGCGCAAGCCUGAUGCAGCGACGCCGCGUGGGGGAUGACGGCCUUCGGGUUGUAAACUCCUUUCGCUAGGGACGAAGAGUAAUUGACGGUACCUGGAGAAGAAGCACCGGCUAACUACGUG